UUCAUUUUAAAGCAAUCUUAUUGGUUUGUCUGUGUUUUGCUGUCAUUUUCAAGAAAAUGAAUUCUUGCUAAGUCUUGAAAUAUCGUAACUUUUGAAAAAAAAAACUAGUGUUUUGAAAUAACUAACCAAAGAUACAGGCUUAAACUAAAAACGAGCAUAUCUAUUUUCUGAACGCAUUCCGUGAUAUGUUUAUUUAUAGUAUACAUAUGUUAUUGAUUGGGCGAAAUUUCUUCACAUACAACGAAUAUGUAUAACCGUGCAUUGGCUGGAACAUGAUGUUGUCCUGGUUUUGUGUGAUACGUUGUUAUGAGAGAAUACGAAGCAAAUAGUAAAUAUGUAAUAAGAUGAAAAUUCUGAGGAACUUUUAGCCGGGCUAAUGAUGUAAAAUCCUUUUCAUUUCAAUUUUACAAUAAAUACAUAAGUUAAUUGCACAGUCUCAAAAAUUCUUUGAAAAGUAAUUUAAGAAAGGUUGCUUAUAGUGCAAGUAUUAUUACAAUGAAACGAUAAAAAGAAUCACAGAUAGCAAAAAAAACAUUCAGACAAAGAUCAUACUUUUGUUCAUGUUAGUAAAUCUAACGUAGUAUAAACUCAUAUUCAUAUGUUGUGGAGAUUUAUUAAUUAUUAUGAGCUUUCUACCAAAAUUAAUAUUCUAUACACGUUCAAUUCAUUUGCAAAUAAAAUCAUGUCCUAAUGCAAGUGCCAAAUCAUACUUUUCUCAACGCACCCUUGUAAGUGAAUAAUGGCAAUAAUUACUCAAAGGGGUUAAGCAUUAUAUUUGAGUGAUAAAAAACAUCACUUAUUCGUCAGUAUGUCUGUCUUUAAAACGAUACAUGUUCAAAUAUAUAUGAUUAACUGAAUAAAAUUAACACAUUUUUAAUUUUUAGCAGACGUUCUACAUGUAUUUCGAAUAACUUUGCAUCAUUGUAGUUAGUUGAUACACUGAUACAUUUACUCAGUCAACCAAUUCGGGACGAUGACCGUAAAACUUACGCAAUGUCUCCUUCGGUUGUUUUUGUGUUAAUUAUCAUGCAAAUGACAUACGCUCAGGCAGAGGGUAUUUUGCUGCUGACAAAUAGAAAGUUUACAACUGGAAACGUGAAAUCAUCACGUUUGUCAUCUAUUUUAUUGCGAAGUUGCCAAUCUGUGGCCAUACAUAAUACAUAAAAAAAGACAACAGUAAUAACUAACAAAAUUUGACACCAUCUACCAACGAGAAUAAAUAUGAUACUAGUACCAUAUUCCAGCCAAAGCCUUGUUAUAAAGCCAGUAAUCUAUAUUAUUUAUAUAAGUAAGAAUAUAUGGUAUGGUGUUGGUAAUGGGUUACUAUAAAGCAUACGCUUAUUUUUUCAGAUAUUUUAAUCUUUUGACUGCCACAAAACAUACAUAUUCCUUCAAAAUAUGCCCAGGAAUCAAUGCAAUAACGUGUGACAAAUACUUCCAUAGCUAUUCGUAGUAUAAAGCAUAUGCAUCCUUGUUUAUUCGUUUUAUUCUGCUGACAAAAAAAAUUAACUGUUGAAUAUUGUUUACACUGUCUACCAUAAUAUGCAGUUCUAUAAAAAACAUAUUGCAAAUUUGUUUAAACGAGGCCAAAAUGUUAGCAGAAAUAAAGUCAAAAUGCAUUUUUCAUUUAACGUAAACAUGUACACAAAUGCGCCAUUGAUCAAUAUUAUUUGUUUUUUUCUUUUUAUAAAGAUUGAAUAAUGAUCUAUAGCAAAAUAGAUGUUACGAUUUUCGAAAUGAUUAUAAUGGGAUUCGCUUGUUAUGGAAGAGUAAUUUGCACUUUGUCACACGAGCAAAUAUACAUGGCAGUUGGAUUAAAAUAUGUUUAUUUUUAAAUUGUCGUCACUGAUACGCAUUAUGAUGAGUCAUUAUAUUUUACAUAUUUAACCAUUAUGUCUUCUUUCUUGUUCAUAAUGUACAUGUCACAUAUUGUUUGAUUAUUAUUGUUUUUAUACUUUCAUAGUC
rnacentral:lncRNA from 1 species